UACGAAGGCAGCAGUGGGGAAUAUUGGACAAUGGGCGAAAGCCUGAUCCAGCCAUGCCGCAUGAGUGAAGAAGGCCUUCGGGUUGUAAAGCUCUUUUAGUGAGAAAGAAUAAUGACGGUACUCACAGAAGAAGUCCUGGCUAACUCCGUGCCAGCAGCCGCGGUAAUACGGAGAGGGCUAGCGUUAUUCGGAAUUAUUGGGCGUAAAGAGCGCGUAGGCUGAUUUAGUAAGUUAAAAGUGAAAUCCCAAAGCUUAACUUUGGAAUUGCUUUUUAAAACUGCUAGUCUAGAGAUUUGAAAGAGGAUAGAGGGAAUUUCCUAGUGUAGAGGUGAAAUUCGUAAAUAUUAGGAGGAACACCAGUGGCGAAGGCGUCUAUCUGGUUCAAAUCUGACGCUGAGGCGCGAAGGGCGUGGGGAGCAAACAGGGAUUAGAUACC
rnacentral:rRNA from 1 species